UUCGCGUCUUUAAUUCCAUGGCUUUGAGUUCCGCACAGUCCGAGGGAGGAGGGACAAACUCGGGGCUGCUUUGGUCGAUUCCUGCCGGGCUCGGGGGGAGCCAGGGCCGCCCUCGGGGGGCCGGUAAGGCUGUGGAUAAACCCGGGAUAAACCCGGGAUAGAUCCAGGAGGAGCCAACCCCUGGAGGUGGCCCCGCAGAGUGCAAUUAGAAGGGGGAAUUAAUUAAUUAAUUAACACUGCGGUGGGGAGGGGGGGGGGGGGUUUGGCCUCUGGGGACCCGGCGCCAGAAGUGACCCCGGGGGGAUUGGGGCACCUCGGGGGUGCCCAGGUCAGGGGGAUUGACCCUCCCUGGGGCAGGAGGGGCCCCGCGGGAUCAGGGAUUUCCCAGCCAGAAUUCCCAGUGGGAUCAGGGAUUUCCCAGGUGGAAUUCCCAGUGGGAUCAGGGAUUUCCCAGCCAGAAUUCCCAGUGGGAUCAGGGAUUUCCCAGAUGGAAUUCCCAGUGGGAUCAGGGAUUUCCCAGCCAGAAUUCCCAGUGGGAUCAGGGAUUUCCCAGAUGGAAUUCCCAUGGGAUCAGGAGCCCAGCGAGCAGGGAUUUCCCAGCCGGAAUUCCCAGUGGGAUCAGAGCCCACGGCCAGGGCAGCAUGGCAGGACCGGGGACGUGCCCAGCCCG